CCUUUCAUCACGAUUUCGGGUUGGAAGUCGAAGGCUAAAUCAAGGCUGCUUGGAAAUUUGAUUCAGAUGAUGGCUAUAGUUCAAACAAGCAAUUUAAUUGCAGUGUUCCUGUAGUCUGGUUUUGCUCUGACAUUUUGCCCAUGGCUCGCUGUUCUGCAUAAGUGCAUAGUAAUAUCAUAGGCAUGAUUGGAUGGUAAUUGGAUCUGGAUGUACAUGUAUUGAAGCAAAUCGAGAACUUGCAUGGUCUAGAGGAUUUAUAAUGAUUUGGGCCAUGAUGCUUUGAGUUCCACGGCCAUAUCAAAUGUUUGUAGGGGACAUGUAUUGUAUGCAGAUACAUUCUAUGCAGUUGAGAUUCUUUUUUUGGUUGUAAUUUGGUUUACAACAUUCUGAAUGUUGAGCAUACUCUAAGGUUAUGUUUUCUUGUUAAUGCAGAAACAAUAUGAAGACAUUCCAGUUUUGGGGCAGAGGCCAACAGAUGAAUGAACUAUGGACUCUUAUAACCAUCAUGUAGUUUUUGUAUGGAAGGAAAGUUGAAGUAUGCAAUUAUGCAUUAGUUGCUAGUGGGAAGGAUUUGGAAGAAACAGGGAGUGAGGAUGAUGGGCUUUUGGAUCUCAGUGAAGAUGAUUUUUUUUUCUAAGUGGAAGCUCUAGUGAUGAAGCAAAUGCAGAUGAUGAAUGGACAGAUAAGAGUACAAGGGAACAGGCUUCCAGUACUUCUGAGAAAGCAGCAUCUGGCAUGUCCAGUGAUGAGAGAAAUCAGAGACAGAUUUCAGCUAGAGCUUUGAUGCCUGCCCCUCGGCAUCAAGUAAUUCUCACUCAAGUUCAGUACCUUCUCAAUCAAGAUUCAGUCCUUCAUCAAGCAAAAGUUCACCAAAACAUGCUGAAAUGUCUACAUCCAGCAAUACAUCAAGUAGCAGAAGUGAAAUGAAGCUAGAUGAUACUGAUUUCGCCAAUUUUGAGCUUUGUUUCCAAAGUGGGAAACCAAUGUUGCUGGACUUUUGAUGAUCUUUUAUUUUAUAGUUUUUAGUUU